rnacentral:lncRNA from 1 species
AAAAUAAAAUAAAAAUAAUAAUUAGUUUAUUAUAGUGUCACAUAUUUGAUCAGACAAUAUAUAUAUACAACAAUUCAUAAUACAAACAGAGAUCAAAUAUCCAGCCUUAGAAUAGACUUAUGAGACACUUUAAAACACAUCAGACAACUGUACAUUUAUAUAAAAAAUAAAAUGAGCAUUCUUUUAUAAAAUUCAAAAAUAAUUACUGGUUUAUCACAUUAAGUAAGCUGUUUUUAAAAAUCUUUACUAGUAAAAGUAUCAAUUAAUAUUAGAUAGACUAUAUUAAUAAAGAGAUUACAGAUAAAAACAUAAGCAAUGUUUAAAAGGUUUUGCCAAAAACCGGAUACACUUCUUUAAAUAAAAACUAACAAAAAGAAAGAAAGAAAAAAAAAUAUAUAUUUCUAGGGAGACAAAAA